GUGUUGUAUGAAAGGGGAGAAGGUUAGCACUCCCCUUGACAAGGAUGGAAGAGGUCCUUGGGCCUGACAACACGAAUACAGUUAAGACAUUGCCACCUACUUCGUGGAAAAAAUACUGAUUUUUUUU
ensembl:snRNA